CAGCAGCCACGGGAAUACGUAGGGUGCAAGCGUUAAUCGGAAUUACUGGGCGUAAAGCGUGCGCAGGCGGUUUGUUAAGACAGAUGUGAAAUCCCCGGGCUCAACCUGGGAACUGCAUUUGUGACUGGCAAGCUAGAGUGUGGCAGAGGGGGGUGGAAUUCCGCGUGUAGCAGUGAAAUGCGUAGAUAUGCGGAGGAACACCGAUGGCGAAGGCAGCCCCCUGGGCCAACACUGACGCUCAUGCACGAAAGCGUGGGGAGCAAACAGGAUUAGAUACCCGCGUAGUCCCUGUCUCUUAUAC
rnacentral:rRNA from 1 species